GACGAACGCUGGCGGCGUGCUUAACACAUGCAAGUCGAACGGAAAGGCCCUGCUUGCAGGGUACUCGAGUGGCGAACGGGUGAGUAACACGUGGGUGAUCUGCCCUGCACUUCGGGAUAAGCCUGGGAAACUGGGCCUAAUACCGGAUAGGAGCCAUUUUUAGUGUGAUGGUUGGAAAGUCUUUUCGGUGUAGGAUGAGCUCGCGGCCUAUCAGCUUGUUGGUGGGGUAAUGGCCUACCAAGGCGGCGACGGGUAGCCGGCCUGAGAGGGUGGACGGCCACAUUGGGACUGAGAUACGGCCCAGACUCCUACGGGAGGCAGCAGUGGGGAAUAUUGCACAAUGGGCGCAAGCCUGAUGCAGCGACGCCGCGUGGGGGAUGACGGCCUUCGGGUUGUAAACUCCUUUCGCUAGGGACGAAGCUUUUUGUGACGGUACCUAGAUAAGAAGCACCGGCUAACUACGUG
rnacentral:rRNA from 1 species